CGAUCGGGCGCCCCAGGUACCGCUGGUGUGAUAUCGUGGAGGCGGACCUGCGUCGGCUGAAUGCCAAUUCAUGGCAGGAAACCGCGCUGGAUCGGGACAGGUGGCGUUCUCUCGUUUCGGAGGCCAAGAUUCUUUUUGGAUCGCUGAGCCAAAGCAGUUAGUUAUGAUACAAGUGUGCUAUGUUGGUCAUUACACACGAGGCGAUAUUGUGCGCGCGAGCUGCAAGCGCUUGUAUCAUAAUCUAUUUUAUUUUUAUUUAUUUUAAAACCACAUGCAAGUAUACAGUGCUGACCAAAACACUUACUAAUAUACUUCCGUAGCGUAGAAAAUAUUGGGCGAUUUUGCAAAUUUUCCAUUGAAUAAAAUUUUCAUAUGCCGCAAAUUAUUUUUCACCCGAUUUUGAUGGUAAAAGGCUAUCGUUCUCGGCUCUUGCCUCUAUUAGUAUUACUGGCAGCGUAAAUUUUAUGUGUUCAUCAUUUUCAAUGCUUGAAAAUGACAUUUUCGUCAAUGUAUAAACUAAAAACAUGCAAAACUAUUCCAAUUUUAUGACAAAUACGGAAAAUGGCUGGCGCGGUUUUUUUUUACGCACGAUUCCAAUGCGCGCGCAAGGCAAAGGCGCGAACGAAAUCGACAAACAGCCAAUUUAAAAAAUGUAAUAAAGCUAAUAUUUUUCGUAUUUCUAUUCGACGGAUUGAGAUCAAAUCGAUAAAAUGUUAUGUUUAUUCAUUAAUGAAAUUUACUAGAUAAUUUAAUCUAUAAAUUGUUUGGUUUGAUAAAACCUCUUUGAAGUAACAUUUGAAACACCUGAUAGUUGGUUAAAAAAAAUGUAUUACUCGACCAAAUUAAGAAGGCUCCGUUUCCAUGCAUAUUAUUAGCAAUCAGUUCCCUUCUUAACUCAGUCGGAUAAUAUAAUGAAAAAGCACGAGUGUUAUAAUAUACUGAAAAAGCACGAGUGUUAUAAUAUACUGAAAAAGCACGCGUGUUUAAUAUCUAGGAUUAUGAGCCAAAAAUCGGUGGAAUGAAAACGUCGUUUUGAGCAAGUGUGUUGAAAAAUACUUAUAUAUCAUCGUGUGAAAAGGACAACAUGAUAGUAUUGAUCCAGUCCGGUCUGGCCUAGCGGGUAGUGACCGUGCCUAUGAAGCCGAUGGUCCCGGAUUGGAAUCCUGGUAAGGGCAUUUAUUUGUGUGACGAUUUAUAUAAUGCAUAGAUGGUAUUCGUAAAUACCCUGGUUUUGAAGUUACCCGAAUGCAUAUCAAAUAUUUAAUGUUUUAAUUCGUAAUUAAAGAGUAAGUUAAGACCCUUUUCACAAAUAUUUUAUAUGAGUACAACAAGAUAGUUGAAUAAACAGUUAUUAAUGUUAUUAUUACAAUGGUGUAUUAAUUAUAUCAUGCAAUGGCGUUGGAGAACAAAAGCUUUACAUGGUUCGCUUUAAAAUAGGAUUAGCAAGAACUGAACAGAAGUACGAAUGAGGAUAUUCUCAAUCACUAAAUGUAGUAACACCAAAUCAAGAAUCCGAUAAAAAUGUAUAAAUACACACACACACACACAUUUAGUGAUUUAUUGCCCAAGAGCCCGUGCCAGCCAGACGUACGUCUUAGUAUAAAAGUUGAUUUUAUAGACAGAAUAAAUAAUAGUACUACCGUAUAGAAAUGACACUACCUACAUAAACGAAGUUUAACAGCGAUUCAGGGUCGAAUUAUGCUGUCCCUUUCUAAUGUAUGGAACUAUCCCUUCGGCCAUUUAGGGUUGUCAAAAUUCAAGUCUCUUGUCUGUGGUCGUACACGUAUAGGGACGUCAAGUUGUGCAUGACAACCUAAUAAUUGCUCGGAGCAAUGCUGAACCGAGCGGAGCCGGAAAAAGCCGAAAGGAGGAGUGUCGCCCACUGCCCCUAUGAAACCUAUGUCGCGGUGGCUUUAGCAGUUAUAGGUAAGUACUUAGCUUUUAUUGGUACAGUCACUGAAAACAUCGAUACGGACAAAGUGCCAAAAAUAUGUAUACACUACCCUAAUAUAUGGGCCAUAAAGUCGUAUAUAUAUAUAUUUUUUUGGCACUUCGAUCGUGUCGAUGUUUUCAGACGUGACUGUACGAGACGCAAGUCUGGCUGUCACGGGCUCUUGCUUUAUAACAAGCUCAUACUUUCUUCUGUGGUGCUUAUUCUAAUCCUAAAAAUUGCGAAGUAUAUAAAAUCCCGCCAAAACUUUUUUAUAUUACUAAUAUAAUUAUGGUUAUAUAGAUGUGAUGAAUUUAUCGCGAUGUAAAUGAGUGCUUUGAAUUAUAUAAGACUGCUGUGAUCCCUUAUUGUAUAUAUUUGUACGAACCCGCUAGACAAGCACUGAUUAAAUAGAGGUACUUUAGAUAAAAAUAGGGUAAAUCAUCUACUGGCCGCUGUCCAGUAGCUGGCAAUAACACAAAAACAGUUAAGUACGCAAAUACAGUUGUCAAACGAUAAUGCAUAACGAAUAACGAUAGCGCAUGUUUUUUUUAAAUAAAAUAAUUAAAUUAGACACUCGAUUGCAAUCUAUCAAUUCAGGUUAGUUAUUGGCGAUUUACCCUAUCAUUAGACAUUCUAGCACAAUGCUAUUUGUCGCCCGUGAAGUAUUCGUUUCUUCUGGCACGUUGUGUAGGUGCGAAAGAUGAUAACUUUGCGAUACGUAAAAACUAACAGAUAUGAGACAGUAAGUGAUUAGAUAGGUAUUUCUAUGUAUUUCAUUUCGUUCUUUGGGCACCAAGCGGAAUUCCAUUUCAGAACUGAGAUAUUAGUAUUUUAGUCAAAAUGCUGUCAUCUUUAUUAGCUAGGAAAUAGAGUCCAAGUAAGUAAAUUAAUUGCUGCAGGGUAGAUGUUCGCGCACCGCCGCCGCCGGGAGAGCGCGGAGUAUGGACUCGCCCAGCGGUGGAGUCUACUGCCAAGUUAAUAAGGAUGAUUACAUUUUGACUAAUAUAGAUAGCGGUAAGAGCGUGCGACUUGCAAUCCGGAGGUUGCGGGUUCAAACCCCGUCUCGUACCAAUGAGUUUUUCGGAACUUAUGUACGAAAUAUCAUUUGAUAUUUAUCAGUCGUUUUUUUUGUGAAGGAAAACAUCGUGAGACUCGUGAGGAACCCGGACUAAUCCCAACAAGGCCUAGUUUACCCUCUGGGUUGGAAGGUCAGAUGGCAGUCGCUUUCGUAAAAACUAGUGCCUACGCCAAAUCUUGUGAUUAGUUGUCAAGCGGACCCCAGGCUCCCAUGAGCUGUGGCAAAAUGCCGGGACAGCGCGAGGAAGAAGGAGAUACCGAUAUCUCAUUUCUGCAAUGGAAUUUCGCUUAGUGCCUAUAAAACGAAAUGUAGUUCAUAGAUAUACCUAUCUAGUGACCUAAUACUCAACAUGGUUUCUGGACCAUUAUGACGCAAAGUCUUUCUGAUUUCGAAGCGGUUAAAAAUAGGAAGGUAUGGUAAUUCCUUUUAAGAUGGGCUAUUAAAUAAUCAAGACAACCAACCUUCAAACAAAGAUGUGCUGUUACGGAAUAGAGUUUAAAAUAUCUCAGUGAAUUCAUGAAAAAGUGACGCAGAUUUCGGAGAAAGGCAUCUUUGUAUGAAGUGAAGUUGUCGUUAUUUAGUUGUCUGUGUAGGUGAUGCUUUUAUUUGCUCAUUAAAAAAGUCGGAACCGAUUGUAAGUCGAUUUUAAGGUUACGUAUGUAGGGGUACCAACCGGAACUCUAUAGCUAAGUCUCCACUUCCUGUCUGGCUGUCUGUCAUACGGCAAUAUCUUAUGAAAGUUAUGAUAACAAGCCAGUUCAUUGAAAAUAAGGAUUGGAAAAAAAUAUGAACUCGUAAAUUAGCCUGUAGUACAUAACUUCGCCUUAACUAACAUUUAAUCAUAAUUCCGCUAUUGUAUCAUCAUAGGACAGCAAGUUUUUGAAUAAUUUUCAUAAUUAAAGCAGAUAAGGCGAAGUUGCGGACGGGUGGCAACGAUACAACUUUAUAAGUACUAUUUUUAGUGUGAAUUCAAUGGGAUGUCUAUUUCUUGGCGAAGUUGGGCACAAAGGGCGAAGUUAGAGUUCUACAUUUUCCUACCCUGAUUUUCAAUGAAUUGCAAUGACGGGGGUUGCUCAUGAAUUUUCAUAUAGUGUGUAUCUUUAGCUGCUAUAGCAAGCCCUCUUACAAGUUUAUGAUUAUGAAACAAAAACUUAUGGUAUAAAGUAAGGUGGGGUAAGACGAAUAUAGUUUAUUUUGCUCGGGGCCGGACAAACAGUAUGAGGAUUCCAUACAAGUGUUUGUCUCGUCCCGGUAAUAGUGUAACCCCACCUUGCCUUAAGUAUUUUUCGUAUUGCAUGAAGAUACGUUACGGAACCCUUCAUUGUGCGGUGUCCGACACGCAUUUAAUCGGCUUUUAUUUACCUACGCGGUAUUAAUUAUACUAAUUAUGAAUCGUAUUACUUGUUUAUUUAUUAAUAUUUUUAUACGAAGCGCAAUUGUAGCAAACGUGCCUCAAUGGAUUGUAAUUUAAAAUGUCCAAUUUACAUUUUAGAUGACAACCUUUUUAAGUUAUUUAAUGUAUACUGUAAAUAGUAGGUACUUAAAUUAGUGUUUUAAUCUGUACAUUCAGCCUUGGUCAUAGUAAGUAGGCUAUUAAAAUAAUGCGAAGUUUUUUGUAAUUUAGAAGUACAACUGUAACUGGGAAUGAAAUAAAGUGGUAAAAAUCAAACUCUUA